rnacentral:snRNA from 1 species
AUACUUACUGGCAGGGGAGAUACCAUGAUCACGAAGGUGGUUUUCCCAGGGUGAGGCUUAUCCAUUGUACUCUGGAUUUCUGACUCCUGCGAUUUCCCCAAAUGUGGGAAACUCGACUGCAUAAUUUGUGGUAGUGGGGGACUGCAUUUGUGCUUUCCCCUA